rnacentral:lncRNA from 1 species
AAUAGUAACAAUGAGGAUGCUGUAUAUGACAAGGAAUAUGAAAAAGACGGCUCGCCCACAGAAAACAUCAAUGUAUAUGACAAAAUACGAGCGUGCACGCAUCCUUGGUACACUGCCUUGCAGAUAAGCAUGAAUGCUCUUGUUAUGGUCGAGCUUGAUGGGGAGACUGAUCCACUUGAGGUAAAAAAUAGUAACAAUGAGGAUGCUGUAUAUGACAAGGAAUAUGAAAAAGACGGCUCGCCCACAGAAAACAUCAAUGUAUAUGACAAAAUACGAGUGUGCACGCAUCCUUGGUACACUGCCUUGCAGAUAAGCAUGAAUGCUCUUGUUAUGGUCGAGCUUGAUGGGGAGACUUAUCCACUUGAGGUAAAGUUCCGAUUUCAGAUUUCACAAAUCUUCAUAAUGUGGACACGACCGCGAUGUCCUGAUUAUGAUAUUGGUGGUGUUUGAAUCUUCUGAA